rnacentral:rRNA from 1 species
CUUAGUGGCGCAGCUAACGCACUAAGUUGACCGCCUGGGGAGUACGGCCGCAAGGUUAAAACUCAAAUGAAUUGACGGGGGCCCGCACAAGCGGUGGAGCAUGUGGUUUAAUUCGACGCAACGCGAAGAACCUUACCUGGCCUUGACAUCCAGAGAACUUUCCAGAGAUGGAUUGGUGCCUUCGGGAACUCUGUGACAGGUGCUGCAUGGCCGUCGUCAGCUCGUGUCGUGAGAUGUUGGGUUAAGUCCCGUAACGAGCGCAACCCCUAUCCCUGGUUGCUAGCAGGUAAUGCUGAGAACUCCAGGGAGACUGCCGGUGACAAACUGGAGGAAGGUGGGGAUGACGUCAGGUCAUCAUGGCCCUUACGGCCAGGGCUACACACGUGCUACAAUGGCGCGUACAGAGGGCUGCGAACUCGCGAGAGUAAGCCAAUCCCUUAAAACGCGUCGUAGUCCGGAUCGGAGUCUGCAACUCGACUCCGUGAAGUCGGAAUCGCUAGUAAUCGCGAAUCAGAAUGUCGCGGUGAAUACGUUCCCGGGCCUUGUACACACCGCCCGUCACACCAUGGGAGUGGAUUGCACCAGAAGUGGUUAGUCUAACCUUCGGGAGGACGAUCACCACGGUGUGGUUCAUGACUGG